GCUCCAAUAGCGUAUACUAAAGUUGUUGCAGUUAAAAAGCUCGUAGUUGGAUUUCUGGUAGCGACAUUCGGUCUGCCUCACGGGGUGUGUACCUGUGUGUUGCGUCCAUCCUCGGGGAGAACGUAUCUGGCAUUCAGUUGUCGGGUAUGGUAUCCCCGUCAUUUACUGUGAGCAAAAUAGAGUGUUCAAAGCAGGCUUAG
rnacentral:rRNA from 1 species